AUGUGUUUGCUUUCUUGUUUCAUUUUAGAUUGGGAGACCAAGUAUGAAACCAAGAAGUUAUCUUUAGAAAAUGACACUUAUGAAAUAAAUUUAUCCCCGUGGAAGAUAAUGGAAAGAAUUAAAAACCAUGGCCUUAAGGGUCUCAUUUUAAAACAUGAUUGGGAAUCCACAGGAAAAAUGGAAGGACAGGAGAGACCUCAAGAAGGAUACUUCAGUAGUGUGAAAAUGCCAUCUGAAAAGGUGUCCUCUUACCAGAAACGCACAUCUGUUACUUCACAUCAGAGACUUCAUUUUGUCGAUAAACCCUAUGAAUGUAAGGAAUGUGGGAAGGCAUUCAGAGUGCGCCAACAGCUUACUUUUCAUCACAGAAUUCAUACUGGUGAAAAACCCUAUGAAUGUAAGGAGUGUGGGAUGGCCUUCAGACAGACUGCACACCUUACUCGACAUCAGAGACUUCAUUCUGGUGAAAAACUCUAUGAAUGUAAGGAAUGUGGGGAAGCUUUCAUAUGUGGUGCAGAUCUUAGAGUACAUCAGAAAAUGCAUAUUGGUGAGAAGCCCUAUGAAUGUAAAGAAUGUGGGAAGGCUUUUAGGGUACGAGGACAACUUACUCUGCAUCAGAGGAUUCAUACUGGUGAGAAACCCUAUGUGUGUAAAGAGUGUGGAAAGGCCUUUAGACAGUACGCACACCUGACUCGGCAUCAGAAGCUUAAUAGUGCUGACAGGCUCUAUGAGUGCAAAGAAUGUGGGAAGGCCUUUUUGUGUGGCUCUGGUCUUAGAGUACAUCACAAACUUCAUACUGGUGAGAAACCCUAUGAAUGUAAGGAAUGCGGAAAGGCCUUUAGAGUGCGGCAACAACUAACACUGCAUCAGAGAAUUCACACUGGUGAGAAGCCCUAUGAAUGUAAGGAAUGUGGGAAGACUUUCAGCCGUGGUUAUCAUCUUAUUCUGCAUCACAGAAUUCAUACUGGUGAAAAACCUUAUGAAUGUAAGGAAUGCUGGAAAGCCUUUAGUCGCUACUCACAACUUAUUUCACAUCAGAGUAUUCAUAUUGGUGUUAAGCCCUAUGACUGUAAGGAAUGCGGGAAGGCCUUUAGACUACUUUCACAACUCACACAGCAUCAGAGUAUUCAUAUUGGUGAGAAACCCUAUAAAUGUAAGGAAUGUGGCAAGGCCUUUAGAUUGCGCCAAAAACUUACUCUACAUCAGAGCAUUCAUACUGGUGAAAAACCCUUUGAGUGUAAGGAAUGUAGGAAGGCCUUUAGGCUUAAUUCAUCCCUUAUUCAACAUCUGAGAAUUCAUUCUGGUGAGAAACCCUAUGAAUGCAAGGAAUGUAAGAAGGCCUUUAGGCAACAUUCACACCUUACUCAUCAUCUGAAAAUUCAUAAUGUAAAAAUCUAAGAAAGUCUUUUCAACUUCUGUGUAAUAGAACAUUCUAUGAAUGUAGUAAUUAAUCUCUUUUGCUCCAUACAUUCAACUGACUUGGCAUGAGAGAUUUUAUACCAUUAAAAGAGUGUGAUAAUGUAUUGUAUUCCAUCAUCACUCAAACCUGAAACUUCAGCACAUUUGUUCUAAAAACUAAUCCUGUUAUAAGAAUGAGAAAGAUACUUACCAUCAUCCCUAUCCCAUCACUUUGUGUCAUACUAGACAAGAAACUUAACUGCUCUGUGCUUUAAUUUUUUUAUUUAUGAAAUGGUCAUGUAAGAGUGCAGCAAUUUGACACUCUUUCAAUCAACAGGUGGAAUUUACAUCCCUCUGUUGUAUAUAGGCAGACUCUGUGACUGCUUCGCCCCGUAGAAUAUGGUAGAUGUACUGCUGUGCUGGUUUCUUGACUCAGACUUUACUGGUAGAGUUACUUCAUCUCAUGAAAAGAGAGAACUGUCAUGUUGCAGAGUCUGGCUACUGUGCUGAAGAGAACACAUGAAGAGGCCCUGAAACUACGUAGAGAGAGAGAGGCACCUGCUGAACCCUGUCUUCUUGACAUCCGCCAAGAUACCAGACAUUUGAGUGAAAUUUUGGAUCCACCAGACCAGCCACCAGCUAAAUGCCACUGAGUGACUUGGUAACAUCAACUGAUGCCACGUAGAAUGAAAGAAUUGACCAGCUGAGCCCCUGCCCAAAUUUCUGACCCACAAAAACAUGAGAUAUAAUAAAAUGGUUGUCAUUUUAAGCCA